CCCGGUUGGCAAGGCAGGAAGACGGGUGCGGCCCCGGGAUUCCCUUCUCCCAGGCCUUCCCGGGAAGAAGUCCGUGGAAGCGGCAGCCCCGGUGGGCCAGGGUCCCGGAGUCUCGCAGGGAAGCAAGGUGUGCUGACCAAAACUAAACGCAGUACUCUCGGUGUGGCCUUACUGAGGCUUUCAUCAAAACAAUGUAAACAGGCUCGACCAAUCUUUGCAAGGUGCCUGACAAUGCCGUCCAGCGCUUCCUUUUCCGCCUCCAAGCCUACGAGGGUCUCGUGCAUCCUGGCAAUUUCCAGAUCCUUUCUGGACAGCAGAGCCUGCAAAGAGUUGGUGGGAUUCAAAUAAUUUCACAACCGUACGGACUGUACAGUAAUAGAAUAGAAUGGAAUGGAAUGGAAUGGAAUGGAAUGGAAUAGAAUAGAAUAGAAUAGAAUAGAAUAGAAUAGAAUAGAAUAGAAUAGAAUAGAAUAGAAUUUUUUAUUGGCCAAGUGUGAUUGGACACACAAGGAAUUUGUCUUGGUGCAUACGCUCUCAGUGUACAUAAAAGAAAAGAUACGUUCAUCAAGGUACAACAUUUACAACACAAAUGAUGGUCAAUAUAAUGAUCAAUAUAAAUCAUAAGGAUUGCCAGCAACAAAGUUACAGUCAUACAGUCAUGAGCGGAAAGAGAUUGGUGAUGGGAACGAUGAGAAGAUUAAUAGUAGUGCAGAUUUACUAAAUCGUUUGACAGUGUUGAGGGAAUUAUUUGCUUAGCAGAGUGAUGGCCUUCGGGGAAAAAACUGUUCUUGUGUCUUGUUGUUCUGGGUGUGCAGUGCUCUAUAGCGUCGUUUUGAGGUUAGGAGUUGAAACAGUUUAAUAGAGACUAAACUGAUUUUAAAUUUAAUAUCAGCAGCGAGAUUAUUGGUUGCGCAAUAUUGGAAGAAAGAAGACUUGCCUACAAUUGAAGAAUGGACGCUUAAAGUAUCGAACUUAGCAGAAAUGGCAAAAAUUUCAGCAUAUUUGAAAGGCUAUUCACAAGAAAGAUACAUAUUGGAAUGGAGAAGUUGGAUUGAUUAUAUUCAAAACAAAUAUCAGACUAAAAAGUAUCAAAUAGCUUAUGAGUGAUUGUAGGAAUUGUACCGUAUUAGUGUAUUUGUUUAAAAGGGAAAGGGGAGUUAAGGUUGCAAAGGGGAGAGGAGAAGUUAUGGGUGAUGGUUUAUUGUUGUAUUUUAGCUUAUGAUUCUUGGAUGUAAUACUCUGUAUUUUGC